AAAAUUGUUUGAGUGUCUUGCAUAAAGUAAACAAAUAGAAAUACAAAUGCAAAUGACUGCUGUGGGUGCCGUAAUAAAGUCUUUAUACUUGACUAUGGCUUCUAAGCCGUAAUUAUAUAAUUGAACUCACAAGCAUGCAGAGAAUAAGUGAAACAAACAACAAAAUAAAUAAUAAUUUUGGUAAAGACAGCUUUAAUGGCAAAAGCGAAAUCUUAAAACUACUUUAUUCUAAGACUCAACUUUAUUAUGAACUUCACAAAAGCGGAAACACGACGAUUUGUUUCAGUGCGGAAAAAAUAAUUUUCAACAUGGGUCGAAAAUUUUCGCCGAUAAAUGUUGUAAGAUGAACAAACUCUGAGUAACACUUUACUAGUCAAGAAAAACGACCUACCAUUUUUUUUUUAUUAUUAUUGUUGAUUAAUUCAAGACGUCUUGGAGUGUUUCCUUAUUUUGAGUGGCCCACCAGGUAUAGGAAAGACUGAAAUGGUCAAAGCUUUAUGUAAAUCUCUUGAUGUUGAGUUAUUUGCUUGGUCAAAUAAGCAUCAAGAAAAUGCUGAACACAAAUGAUGGAGUUUCCGAAUGUGAAUAAGAGAUCCAAUACUGCUUCAUUGCAUUUUAAGAAAUAAGUGCUUUAUGUUUUAAUGAAAAUUAUUUUGAAAAUUAUUUCACAGGUAUUUAUUUGCACAAGGAAAGCAAGUUAGGAAAAAAUGGAAAAUAAGAUAUUUUUUGCUGGUUCCGUGUACUUUUGCAAUGUGCAGUUACAAAGAAAAGAAAUUGGAACCUACAGAAAUGAUGCAGGAUAUACUGUAGAUUAUGUUGAGCCAGUACUUGUCGUUGAACAGACUACCCAAGUUUUUGGGUUCAUGACUACUACUAAUAUUCAACUCCGUAGCCUUGUAAUUUUGAACCAAUCCAGAAGACAAGAAAACACAUAAAUAAGUUUCCCCAGAGGUAUGAUUUAUGGGAACAUGGAGGACUUUGUAACUUGACAGAUUUAGUGUGCAUCAGUCACCAUUUACUACGUGGGGAGUCUUCGGUUUGCGGAGAUCAAACCCAUGACCUCUUGGACAUGGGCCCAGUGUCCUACCAACCUUGCUUUCCCAACCUUUGGUAUAAAUCUUGUCAUUUUGUGGAGUGCAAUUUGUUUUGGGAUUUGUUCAGUAUGAAAUGAACUAAUUUAUUGUUCAGAUUGUUUUUGUCUCUAGGAUCUGAGAUGAAUCACCAGUAAAAGAUGUUUCAUAAUAAAAUUAAUCUUCAUUAAUGUGAUAGUGGUUUUCAAAAAUUAAUCAUAGUUAAUGGUGUUCUAACUAGUUUUGCUUCCUUUUCAUUUAAUUAAAAGUGUCUUCUGAAAUCUGUUACUGUUAUCUGAAGAAAAUCUGUUGCUGUAAUAUUUUUAUUAAUCUUAUUCAGGGUUGCAAAAAACCCACCUGCUCAGAGAAACCCGGUCAAGUUUUACUGGGUAAAACCCACUCUGAAAAGCCCAGUAAAACCCACCCUAAAGUGGGUUUUUCUAAAAUUGAUUUCUUUUUUAUCCUCUGUUAUGUUAAAGAGCUAUUCUAUUGAAAUAUACAUGUAGUCUAGCCUAAGAAAAUGAAUCUAUGGUAAAAAAACUAACAACAAUCUGCAAAGAAAAAUUAUGUGUGAAAUUCAUGAGGAAAAAUGUAUUUAAAAAACAGAAUAAUUUGACUGUAAAUCUUACAAUAAAAGUUAUUCCAUAAGGGUUUUAAUUACACAGACUGAGGAAAUACAUUAAAAAUUCAUCGGGUUAUCAGUGUUAUAAUUUAUCUAUCUUAAAUGUCUAUGUAUUUUAACGCCUUUUGUACACCCAGAUUUUGUAUCCAAGAUUCUUAUUGAAAUUAAUGAAAAAGAAUUUAGCAAAUUGAAUAUUUAGAGCAACUUCCGUUAGUGCAAAAAAAGAUGGCAUCUCUGAACAAGAAUCUACUUUUGUUUGAAUAAAAUCUCUUUUCCUGUUU